GCCAUGUCCCACCUACGGUCCCUCGAGGGUCUUUUCAGCUACCCACCACCUGUCCACCAACUCCCCUCCGACCCCAGCUCAGGUUGAAACCUGACAAUUGGUGUAGUUGGCAGGAUCCCAAGGUGAGACAGCCCUUAGUCCCCGAUGAUCCCGGUCAGCCAUGUGGCCCCAGCAUGGGUUGUGGUACCCGCUGGCAGCCGUGCUGCUAGGAUGGGCCCUGGUGGAUAGGUCCCCCAUGAGCAGGGAGAAGGCGCAGAAGCACCUGGAAGCACAGAACACUGAGGGAGCGGCGCCUUUGCCAGUAGAGUUGGAUGGACGAUUUUGGCUGCGCUAUGGGAAGUACAAGCUCAGUCUCUGCGGGAUGCAGCGCAGGGCUGGAGUUCAAGGUUGGACCUCAUGCUCUAAAACAUGAAUGAAUGGCUACGGAAAGGUGGCCCAGACCCGGUGGAGUCACUGUGACACUGGGCCACUGCUCCCAUCCUGUUACAGAUACACACUAAGGAGGACCUCUUCCAACCAGGGAAAUGACCAGGGAAGGAACCCUUCUCCAGGGGACAUAUGUAUUGUUUGUGCAGCCUAUUAUGAGCUCCCCAGUGACUUUGGAAUGGAUACAGGACCCAAACGAACAAUGGGGAGCUGAAAAGCAAGAGGCAGCAGAAAAUCACCUUGGUUGUCCAAGGAAGAUUAAUAGUCUUUCAAUCUGAUGCCUCCAAGAUGAGAUUGGCUAAGAUUAUUUCACAGGAAACUAGAAAUGGAAGAGCAAAGUGAAGCUAAGGUGAUCAUGGAAAAGAAAUAAUUGAUGUAAGAACAAAUACUAAUACCAUAAAAACAUAUCAACAUACGACUAUGGGAGCAAUGCA